rnacentral:tRNA from 1 species
GCGGGUGUAGUUCAAUGGCAGAACUCCAGCUUCCCAAGCUGAUAACGCGGGUUCGAUUCCCGUCACCCGCU